GCCUGAGUGGCUCAGUCAGUUGAGUGUCUGACUUCAGCUCAGGUCAUGAUCUCACGGUUUGUGGGUUCGAGCCCCGCAUUGGGCU
rnacentral:tRNA from 1 species